CUCAUGGAUGAAAUACUGACUGAAACCUGGAGUCUACUAGCUGUAAUUAACAAGGACAAGACCUAAAGGGUGUGAAAACAAGAGCCCAGCUGCUAAGAGAGUAUGGCAGGAGACAGCCAGCUGAGCCCAGGGAGUCUCUGGUCUCUUCACUGGGCCACCACAGCGCUUGUACAAUUGUCUCUGUGCCUCUCCCAGCUUCCUGUCUCCCUAAUCCUUAAUCCUGUGGAAAUCGGUCAGGCAGAAUGAGCCAGCUUUGAUCAGGCUCUCAUAUCAGGCGUGCUAACAGUGUCAGCACACCCGGAUCCCACAGAACCCUGGAGCCCAGGGGGAGAGCUUCAAACAGGCGUUCACCCCCUGACUCUGCUUGAGAGGAAGGGGAG